UACGUAUGGUGCAAGCGUUAUCCGGAUUUACUGGGUGUAAAGGGAGCGUAGACGGCAUGGCAAGUCUGAUGUGAAAGCCCGGGGCUCAACCCCGGGACUGCAUUGGAAACUGCUAAGCUGGAGUGCAGGAGAGGUAAGUGGAAUUCCUAGUGUAGCGGCGAAAUGCGUAGAUAUUAGGAGGAACACCAGUGGCGAAGGCGGCUUACUGGACUGUAACUGACGUUGAGGCUCGAAAGCGUGGGAAGCAAACAGG
rnacentral:rRNA from 1 species